UACGUAGGUGGCAAGCGUUGUCCGGAUUUACUGGGCGUAAAGAGCGCGCAGGCGGUCGAUCAAGUCGCGUGUGAAAUCUCCCGGCUCAACUGGGAGGGUGCGCCGAAUACUGAGGGACUAGAGUACGGGAGAGGAAAGUGGAAUUCCUGGUGUAGCGGUGAAAUGCGUAGAUAUCAGGAGGAACACCGGUGGUGUAGACGGCUUUCUGGACCGUAACUGACGCUGAAACACGAAAGCGUGGGUAGCAAACAGG
rnacentral:rRNA from 1 species